GGAAGACGGUGUUCGCCCAUCUUCAUAGUUCGUGGGCUGCAGCCAACGGACUGCGCUGAGGGAGAGGAAGGGGGGGGUUUAAAAUUGAUGAAUGGAAUGGAGGGGAUUGAUUUUUAAGAAAGUUUUAUAAGAAAAAAUUGAAUUUGAAUUAAAAAUAAAAACGUUUUUAUUAAAUUCUGGGACGAGAAAACCCUCCAAGCUUAAAAUUAUUAAUUUUUGGUUGGGGUGAUUAAUGAAUAAACAUAUCUUGAUGUAAUAUAAUUAAAUUUUAUUGGAAGUUACUCUAAGGUUAACACCUUUAUUUAAUUUAACAGUUCUUAUUAAAAAUUGAAGUUUGCGACCUCAAUGUUGAAUUAAAUGUACGUUAUCGAAUGAAGGAGCUUAGUUGUGAAGCCUGU
rnacentral:rRNA from 1 species